CGAGCGUCAUUACAACCCUCACGCUCCGCGUGGUGUUGGGCUCGCCCUCUAGGGCCUGCCUCAAACUCAGUGGCGGCACCGUCUGACCCCCUAAGCGUAGUAAUACUCGUCGCUUCUGGUCGUUGGAUGGAUGCCUGCCAGGAACCCCCCAUUUUUACAAGGUUGACCUCGGAUCAGGUAGGGAUACCCGCUGAACUUAA
rnacentral:misc_RNA from 1 species